CCUCCGCCGCCCCUUGGGCUUGGCGCUUGGCUGUGAACUUUCCGCUGGGGUAAGUUCUCCUUUAAGAAAAGGAACUGCUCCUUAUGCAUAUUUAACGCCGGGUGUCUGCAGUGCCCAGAUGACGCGGGGCUGGAGGCUCACAGGCAGGACCUGAGUUGUAGGGGAAGUAAAGGAGCCACCCUUCACCCGCACCCUCUCGCUGGGAGCCCCUUGCUCUGAACCCAUGCUCCCUCUGAGGAAAGACCAAUUCUGCUGGCACCCCGUGUCUGGACUUUGGCGGGCAUGGCAUAGCAGCUGGAUCCGAAAGCACCAUCCCCAUAGAUAGAAAUCCUCCUCUGCACUACGCGACUUGCAAGGAAGGCAACAAGGGGACAUGUGGAGAGCCCAAACGUCUGGCAUCGAGGAGCCGAGAUCCACCUCGCACUGCCCUGAAGGAAAGUUUGUUCCCAAACUGAUUACGUUGUGGUGUUCAGUGCUGUUGUCAAAUCGGUUUGAACCAUCCCAAGUGUAAAAUAAAGAUCUCUGCUCGGGUA